rnacentral:tRNA from 1 species
UCCUGAGUGGUGCCAAUGGUUAACAUGCUUGGCUGCUAACCAAAAGGUUGGAGGUUCAAGUCCACCCAGGGGAA